GACGAACCGUGCAAACGUUGUUCGGAUUCACUGGGCUUAAAGGGCGCGUAGGCGGCUUGUCAAGUCAGGGGUGAAAUCUUUCGGCUCAACCGGAAAAUAGCUUCUGAUACUGGCAGGCUGGAGGGAGGUAGGGGCGGAUGGAACUUCCGGUGGAGCGGUGAAAUGCGUAGAUAUCGGAAGGAACGCCGGUGGCGAAAGCGAUCCGCUGGACCUCUUCUGACGCUGAUGCGCGAAAGCCAGGGGAGCAAACGGGG
rnacentral:rRNA from 1 species